AGAGCGAGGCCCCGCCGGCCGGGCUUGACGUCAGGCUGGCAGGGCCUGGAACGGCCCCGCAUCGCGGCCCCCUGGGGGCAGGACGACACCGCUGGGGGCCGAGGGCAGGGCACGCCUUCGGAAUCCGGCUUCGAAGCCGGCCGCCUGACCUGGGGCAAGUGCUUUCAACUCUCUGAACUUCGGUUCCUCAUCUGCCAGUUGGCAGACGCUCAGCAAAUCUUCCUAGACUCACGGGGCGAAUUGUACAGUUGGGUAAAUCGAGGCCCAGAGAUGGCAAAAGGACCGUCCAAGGUCGUACAGCCACCCGGAAUUACAAUUCUUUUCUGCCGGGUCACACGCUGUCAUCCACGUGUUACCUAAGAGAGCUUUCCAGCCUGUGCUAAGAAAACUGCCCCACAUCAUCUGCAGUAGGACGGGGGAGUUGGAGCCCUGGUCAGGCCACUCUGCUACUGACCACAGUUUUCUCAUCUCUAAAAAGGCGCAGUAACAAUAUAAUUACCGUAUGCAGUCCCCCAGGAUACAGGGUCAAAGGAGAGCACAACCAUCGCAGUUGGAAGCCCAUGGGGCAGACCCAGACUUCACCCUCAGGUCACCCUCACCUGGACUUUGGGGUGCCCCACACCCCGCCCCAGGCCCUGGCCUCUGGAAUAUUUGGAAACUUGAACUGGGCCAGAGGCUUAAGCUCACAUCUGUCUGGAGCCUCAACUUUCUCCUCUGUAAAAUGGGCUAACACUGAAAGAACCUUGCAGAAUCUCAGCAACGUCACAGAGGACAUUGUUAGCACAGCCAGCGGGCUCCUGCUGGGCUGAGUUUGUGGGUAAUCCAAGCCUCGGCAGGUACAGUUCCUCCCUCAGGGCCCAGGACACAGUGAGCAUACAAUAGACAUUAGCUGCUGUGGUGUCUUGAUUUCAAGCCCAGUGCAGAUGCAUCUGACUUACGAAACUUCAGUGACACCUGCUCUGUGCCAGACACUGAAGAUGGAGCAGUGAACAGCACUGACCCAGCCUGUCCUCCUGUUGCCUGCAGGCCAGAAGCAAGGUCUCGCUGUGUUACCCUGGCUGGAGUGCAGUGGCUACUUACAGGCAUGAUCAUAGCAUACUGCAGCCUCGAACUCCUGGACUAGAGCAGUUCUCCUGCCUCAGCCUCCAGAGCAGCUGGGACUGCAGACACGCACCACAGAGCCCAGCCUGAGUCAUUUUGAUUCUGUAACUGGCUUCCUCUCGGCGGGCAGGCUCACACCCUCCACCCCCAGCUGGAGAUGGAAGGAGGAUGCUCACCGCCCAUUCCUCAUGCAGGCCAUCGAUGGAAAUGUCAGACAGUGCGAGUCCACGCCUGAACACUUCUGGGGUCCGCUCUGGGACUGACACUGGCAGAUCCAUCGGUGAGCUCCCGCCUGCCACCUCUGGGCCUGCAUUGCGGUGAUAGGGCCAAGGGCCUGGGCCUUCAAUUCUCCAGACUUGCCAAAAUGCUCAGCGCAGGCCUCGUCGGCAACUGCAGACAAGCAGAGGCAGCACCUGGGCUCUGCCUGUGCCUGGCACAGUGAAGCGAGGGUGGGGGCAGGAAUGAGGGUCCUCUCCAUGCAAGGGGGGAAGAUAGAAGAACAAAAUUUCACCCUAAUGUAGUGUCUUUAGACCGUGCAAUGUUGUGCUCCUGUUAGUCUGAUAUCAGGGGCUUGCAGCCUGGCAAAGGAAAAAAAACAGGCUGAGGCACAUGAUAGAAGACAGGCAGGGAUGCCACAAUCAUAACCAUGGCAAAGACCAGGAUCAGAAAGGCCCACCAUCUCUGACCCCAAAUCCCUGGGCAGAUGGUUCCAGAACUCAGAAUUUUCCCAGUUGUAGAAAGAUGGGGCCAGGUGCAGUGGCUCACGCCUGUAAUCCCAGCAUUUUGGGAGUACAAGGUGGGCGGAUCACCUGAGGUCAGGAGUUCGAGACCAGCCUGGCCAACAUGGUGAAACCCUGUCUCUACUAAAAAAAAAAAAAAAAAUUAGCCGGGCGUGGCGAUGCAUGCCUGUAAUCCCAGCUACUCGGGAGGCUGAGCCAGGAGAAUUGCUUGAACCCGGGAGGCGGAGGUUGCAGUGAGCCAAGAUCGCGCCACUACACUCCAGUCCGGGCGACAGAGCAAGAGUCCAUUCCCCCACCACCAAAAAAAAAAAAAAAAGAAAGAAAGAUGAUGUGAUACAUAUCACAUAUUUCCUAACACCCCCAACCAAACACAUUUAUGCAUAUGCAUAAAGCAGACGAGGAAAGAUUCUAAAUAGGCUCUGAAUCUCAGUUUUCUCAUCUCUACAAUGGGGCAGUGAUGGCAUGCACCUCCCAGGGCUGUUCUGAGAAUCUGAUGCCUCCCAUUGCACUGGUGAGCCUGGCACAGGCACAGGUCCCACCCCAGGCCCUUUGAACUGGCUGUUCCUUUGGCCUGGAACAUUCCUCCCCAGAUACCUCCUGAGAGGGCUCCCUCACUUCCUUCAAGGCACUGCUCAAAUGCUACCUCUUCACAGAGGCUUUCCCUGACCACCCCGUCUCUUUCCUCUUCCUGCAUAGCCUCUGUCACCUGACAUUUUAUGUCAUAAAUUACUCAUUUAUUAAUUUCCUGCUCUCCCACAGUGGCACCCGAGCUCUGUGAGGGCAAGACUUUGUUCGGUUGUGGGCUAUGCCCCCAACCCCUCGGACAGUGCCUGCACAGGUGGACAUUUUUGUUGGAUGAAGGAUUUUCUGUUAAAUGUGUCUGGCACACACAGAAAAACAAAGCCCAGCAGGUACGAUGGUGAUUAUUAUUGUUACUGGUGGCGCUCUAUUAUUGUUAUUAGUGUCUGUUGAAAAAGACCCUGAGCUAUACCAGCCCUUGGUUCUCCAGCCUGUGAAAUGGGCAUCCUGGGCACUGAGGCACUAGCCUUGGGAAGCUGAUAGGGGGUCCCUGCAGGAGAGACAAAGAACACUGCCCACCCCCCCGGGGGAGCCUGCGCCCCUCACCGGAAAGAGAAGCAGGGGGGAGCAGAGGGAGCUUGCAGCCCCACACGCAGGGCUGCCAGAAGGCCAUACAUAAUUCAUUGCCAAAUGGGGCUGCGGGCGGCUCUCCGCGGCGUGCGCUGGGGGCUCACUCUGCGCCUGGCACUUCGCUGACUGCGCCUCACACGUUGCCUCAUUGCAUCUUCAUGGAUUUGCAGGGUGUGACCCUUCCCCCUGUUUUACCCAGGGGGAUCCUGAGGCUCAGAGGAUGGGGCCACCGUGCUAGUCACACAGCCUCUCUGUGGCCAAGCUGGGCCUCGGGCCAGCAGAUUCGGCCCCCAGCGGCCCCCAUUCACUGCCUCUCUGCUGAGGGAAAAGACGGGCCUGGGGAGCGGGUGGGAGGCACAAAGGAGACCCCGCUCUGAGACAGGCUGCAGAAGAGGGAGCUGGGUCUCAGCAGGGCUGGGGAAGGCUCUGGCCCCAGCCCUCCGCCCAACCCCCUGCCCUCCUCUCCUGGAGGAGAUGCUCCCCAAAUUAGCCAUCAUGAGCGCUGGCUCUGGGGGUUGGGCGUUGGGGAGCAGUUUGCUCAGCUGUAAAAUGGGAAUAACAGAAGCCGUCCCUGGGACUAUGAGAUCAAGGUGCUCAAGAAAAGUGGUGUCUGCUGAGGGGAAAAGCCAGUCCCAAAAGGUUGCAUACUCUCAUUCUGUUUAUUUGUUUUUGUUUUUGAGACAGGGUCUCGCCCUGUCACCCAGGCUGGAGUACAGUGGCGCAAUAUGGGCUCACUGCAACCUCCACCUCCUGGGCUCAAGUGAUCCUCCCAUCUCAGACCCUCAAGGAGCUGGGGCUACAGGCACGUGCCACCGUGUCCGGCUAAUUUUUGUAUUUUUUGUAGAGACAGGGUUUCACCAUGUUGCCCAGGCUGGUCUCAAACUCCUGAGCUCAGGUGAUCCGCCUGCCUUGGCCUGCGAUAAAAUUGCACAGAAGUAAAUACACACACGUGAGGAUACGGAAAACCGGGGAAACCUGAGCAAGAGCAGUCAGACCCCGGCUGUGAUGGCGCCCAGUAGUUCUGCGAGAUGUUACCAUUGGGGAAACUGAGUGAAGGCGGGUACCUGGGAUCCCUCUGUUUUCUUUUUUGUUGUUGUUGUUAUUUUGAGAUGAAGUUUCCCUCUUGUUGCCCAGGCUGGGUGAUCCACCUGCCUCGGCCUCCCAAAGUGCUGGGAUUACACGCGUGAGCCACUGUGCCCAGCCUCUCUGUUUUAUUUCUUCUUUUUUUUUUUUUUUUUUUGGAGACGCUCUGUCGCCCAGGCUGGAGUGCAGUGGCACGAUAUUGGCUCACUGCAAGCUCCGCCUCCUGGGUUCACACCAUUCUCCUGCCUCAGCCUCCCGAGUAGCUGGGACUACAGGCGCCCGCCACCUCGCCCGUCUAAUUUUUUGUAUUUUUAGUAGAGGCGGGGCUUCACCGUGUUAGCCAGGAUGGUCUCAAUCUCCUGACCUCGUCAUCCGCCCGUCUCGGCCUCCCAUAGUGCUGGGAUUACAGGCAUGAGCCACCACGCCCGGCUGUUUUAUUUCUUAUAACUGUACAGGAAUCUACAAUGAUUGUAACAAAAAUUUCAAUUAAGGCCACUCUAGGCACAUGGCCUGUGGGGUAGCCCUGCUCAACAAGAAGCCGUCAAAAAAAUGUUUUUUAAUUAAAAAAUUUCUUCAAUUAAAAAGCGUUAUCUUCCUCUGCCCGGAAAGGGUUAAGUGAGUCACUGCAGUUAGCUCCCCUUCCCCCACAACCACCUAGACCAGGCCAGGGACCAGCGGGCAAUUGCCUGGCAGCUGGAGUUUUCCUCCACUGUGGACUGUACUUCUUGCGUCACUCUGAAUGUCUCCAGUCUUUAUUCCAGAAUGUUCUGGUCCUCUCCCACUUUUCCAAGGACAGGAAUUCCCUAGUGGGGCUCCAGAAGAGGCUCUGGAGGAGAACAAGAAAGGCCCUUGUCAUCCAUUGGCCUCAGGCUGGGAAAUCUCGGUUCCACUCCCAGCCCAGCCUCAAUAUUAGGUUGUCAGUCUGGAGUCUGAGAGCCAUGCCCCCACCCCCUUAGUCCUUCACCUCCAGGAGAGUUGGGGAUACUGGAAAGAAUGUUGAGUGUCAGAGCCCCUCUCAGUGGCUCACGCCUGAAAUCCCAGCCCUUUGGGAGGCUGAGGCAGGUGGAUUGCUUGAGGCCAAGAGUUCAAGACCAGCCUGGCCAACGCGACGAAACCCUGACUCUACUAAAAAUACAAAAAUUAGCUGGGCGUGGUGGCACACACCUGUAAUCCCAGCAGCUCGGGAGGCUGAGGCAGGAGAAUUGUUUGAACCUGAGAGGUGGAGGUUGCAGUGAGCUGAGAUCACAACACUGCACUCAAAAAGUAGUUAAUUAAUUUAGUUUAAUUAAAAAAGAAUAUUGAGUGUCAGGCAAUCUGGGUAGAACCCAUUGUGUUUCUACAGGAUAGAAUCUGCUGUGUUCUCUAGCGGAACUUCCGGAUCACCUUCACCGUAUGACUCUAGACAAUCCCUGUCCACUCUUCAGUUUUAGAUGCCCCAUUCAAAGAAUGAAAGAAUUGUCCUAGAUGAUCCUUUAGGGUCUUCCAGGCUGAUGACAAGGGGGACCUGGCCCCUCUGCUGCUGGCCAAAGAGGACUUUACUUCCCAUUCCGUGUGGUUGAACAAGAAUUGCUGGGCUCCAGUCCUGCCUUUGGCCCUUCCCUACAUGUGACCUUGGGCCCUCUUUGCCUUUCAGAAUCAAUACAGUGAGAGAGUUAACACAAGCUCAGGUUAGUAAGUCAUUCAACAAACAUUUACUGAGCGCUUAUCAAAUACUGCAUGCUGGAGUGGACACUGGAGAAAAAGGUGAGGAGAAGGCCGGGCGCAGUGGCUCGUGACUGUAAUUCCAGCACUUUGAGGGGCAGAGGCAGGUGGAUUACCUGAGGUCAGGAGUUUGAGACCAGCCUGGCCAACAUGGCAAAACCCCGUCUCUACUAAAAAUACAAAUAUUAGCCAGGCAUGGUGGUGCAUAUCUGUAGUCCCAGCUACUCAGGAGGCUGAGCAGGAGAAUCACUUGAACUCAGGAGGUGGAGCGUGCAGUGGGCCGAGAUUGCACCUCUGCACUCCAGCCUGGGCAACAUAGUGAGACUCUGUCUCAAAUAAAUAAAUAAAGUGAGGAGAAAAAAAUACCAUCUCUGUCUUCACAGAACUUAUAGUUUGAGAGGGGAGAAUCCCACAAGUAAAUUAUAAAUCUCAGCUGAGAUUAUGCAAAGAAGCAAAGGCCGGACGUGGUGGCUCACGCCUGUAAUCCCAGCACUUUGGGAGGCCGAGACGGGCGGAUCAUGAGGUCAGGAGAUUGAGACCAUCCUGGCUAACACGGUGAAACCCUGUCUCUACUAAAAAUACAAAAAAAUUAGCUGGGCGUGGUGGCGGGCGUCUGUAGUUCCAGCUACUCGGGAGGCUGAGGCAGGAGGAUGGCGUGAACCCAGGAGCACAGGUUGCAGUGAGCCGAGAUGGCGCCACUGCACUCCAGCCUGGGCGACAGAGCGAGACUCUGUCUCAAAAAAAAAAAAAAAAAAGGAAGCAAAGUGCCCAGCUGGGAUGGUGGUUUCAGAGGCCACAGUGGGAGCUUCCCAGAGAAGGGAUGAUUGAGCUAAGUCUAAGCAAAAGGGGUGGUCAGGGCAGCAGCUGCUCCAAAACAGGGGCUGGGGGCUUAUGUGGAGAGAGAAGACAUGGAGAGACCAUGCCCAGAAGGAGGCGGCGGCUUCAGUGAACAGUGCAGGGGAGCAGGUCCGAGGAGGCCGCCUACCAGGGGAAGGAGUCUCAUCUCCAUCCUAGACAAAAAAAGGAUCUUUUGAGAUGCAUUAAGCAGGGGAGUCACAGAUUGGAUUUGUGUUUUGAGAAUCUCCUGCUUACCUAGAGAAGAAGGGCAUCUCCUGGGCCCUCACUGUUGCCUUAAAUGAUUUUUAUUGUGUAUUACUUAAACAUGUGCAAGCAUAAAAUGAGAUAUAAACUCCUUGUAGCUCUUAUACAAGCAUCAGACCAAGACAAAUUGACCCAUCACGUACAAAAUCGAUUCAAAUCAGAUUAAUUUUAUGUGACAUGUUAUUAUGCCUUUUGUCUGAAACCCUGCCACCACCCACAGUGCAAUUAUGGCCCAACCACUGUGGUGUUCUGAAUUUGUGGGACAGAGAAUAUUGGCCUUUUAAACACGUGCAUGCAUGCAUUUGCGUGUGCGCACACACACACAUCCCAAAUGAUUUUUUCCCACUAUAUAUGAAGAACUCCUACAAACCAAAAAGAAAAAGGCAGACAAUUCAAGAGAAAAAUGGGGGAGGGCUUGCAUUAAAGUACUUCAUAACAAGAGUACUUAGGAGGCCAACAAAUACACGAAAAGCUGCUAGCUUCAUGACUCAUGGGGGUGGCUUGGUCAGUUCAGGAUACUGUAACAAAAUACCUUAGACUGGGAAAUUUAUAAACAACGGAAUUUAUUGCUCACAGUUCUGGAGGCUGGGAAGUCCAAGAUCAAGGCAGCAGUAGAUCCGGUGCCUGAGCCCGUUCCCUGCUUCAAACAUGGCACCUUCUUGCUUUUUUGGGAGAAACUCAAACAUUCGGACAAUAGCAAGGAGAAUACAAAACCACAGUGAGCUACCGCUUCAGACACCAGAGAAGUUUAAGUGAAAAAGACUGGCAAUACCAAGUGCUGAUGAGGAUAUGGAGCAACCAGAACUCUCAGACAUUGCUGAUGGGAAUCUAAAUUAGUAUAACCACCACGAAAGCAUCCGUAAGGUUUAAUUGUGUUGAACACACCCUGCCCUCUGACCAAGCAUUUCCACUCCUGGGCAUACAGGCAAAAGAAAUGCAUCCACGUGUUCAUCAAAAGAUGUAACCUGUGCCAGGUGAGGUGGUUCAUGCCUGUAAUCCCAGCACAUCGGGAGGCCAAGGAGGGAGGAUUGCUUGAGCCCAGAAGUUCGAGAGCAGCCUAGGCAACAAGGCAAAACCUCGUCUCUACUAAAAAGUAGCCAGGCAUGAUGGUAUAUGCCUGUAGUCCCAGCUACUCAGGAGGCCAAGGCAUGCAGAUUGAUUGAACCCGGAAGGUGGAGGCUACAGUGAAUUGUGAUCUCGCCACUGCACUCCAGCCUGGGUGACAGAGCAAGAUCUUGUCUCAAUUAAAAAAAAAGGAAGAAAGAAAGACAUAACCUGGAAUAUUCACACCAACACUAUUCAGGAUAGCCCUAAACUGGAAAGAAUCUGAAUAUCCUCCGGCUUUAGAACAGAGAGAAAUUAUAGACUAUUCAUUCAUACAGGGGAUGAUUGAUCAGCUUUAAGAAUAAACAAACCGUACACAACAAUAUAGAUGAAUCUACAACCUUAAUGUGCAAAAUAGUUCACAUAUAUAAAGGACAAAAACAGGCAAAACUACUCCAUGGUGUUAGAAAUAGGGGUAGAGGUUACCCUCAUGCGGCAGGAGGGUUAGUGAUAGGGGAUUUGGAAGAGGAGGAGCCCAAUGGACUGAACAGCUGAGCUGGAAACAGCAAUUUGUUCCUUAAAGUUCUGAACCCAACUGUUAUCCAGCAUGGAGUCUGUCUGGAGAGGCCAGAUGUGGGGCCUCUCACAGGGGAAUGAGAAGUGCCUCUCAGGGUCCCACCCAUGAUCCCCCUUUCCUUGCCCACACAACCACCAACUGGCAAGUAGUAACCCAGGACCUGUAGCCCCCACUGGCUUGACACAGAGCAUAAUGCAAGCUUUUCCUGCUCCAGGUCCUGGACACCACUUUGCCCUUUGCCCCACACGUACAGCCCCCUGACCAAAAGCUGGGUACUCUGGCUUGACUAGAGGGAGCUAGACUCCAGGAAUAAGUAAGGAGCUGGGCUUCCACGCUAGAGAACAAGAGCUUCUCUGGGGAAAGGGGCUUCCCAUGAAGCCCUGGGGCACUGGGAGAUUAAUGGGCAGACCUCUGGCCUCAGCUUCCAGGGAAGGGGAGGGUGUGGGCCAACAUGCGGUGGCUACACUGACCACAAGCCGAUGACCCCAGCCAGCCUCAGGAUGUCUCAGCUCUAGGCAUGGUUUUUCGUUUUGUUUUGUCGUGUUUUGUUUUUGAGAUGGAACCUCGCUCUGUCGCCUAGGCUGGAGUGAAGUGGCACCAUCUCGUCUCCCUGCAACCUCCACCUCCUGGGUUCAAGCGAUUCUCCUGCCUCAGCCUCCUGAGUAGCUGAGAUUACAUGUGCGUGCCACCUUGCCCAGCUAAUUUUUGUAUUUUUAGUAGAGAUAGGGUUUCAUCAUGUUAGCUAGGCUGGUCUCAAACUCCUGACCUCAAGUGAUCUGCCUGCCUCAGCCUCCCAAAGUGCAAGGAUUACAGGCAUGAGCCACCAUGCCCGGCAUAGGCAUGGUUUUGACAAUCUGUCUCUUUGUGCCCUGGCUCCUUCUCCAACUCCUCUUUGGAGGAGGCACAGGAGGAGGGGUCAUUUCACUGUUCCUGAAAAGUAGACAUAUAACCUACAUGCAACUGCCAGGUGAUAAGGGCCCCAUCUGUCUGGCAUGACGUUGGAGGUCCACAAAGGCUGAUUAGAUGAAUGCUCAGCUCUGGGGCCUCCCCACAGAGCUCACAGACAGGCGUGAAGGAAAGCAGGACUCUUAUUAGAAUAUGUUCAGAGUUUUCACUGAAGAAGCCUCCUGUGUGGGCCAGGCACUGUGCUCAGUGCUUUGAUUCACAGUCUCAUUUAAUUCUCACCAUUUACAGACAAGAAUUCAGCUAAGAUCCUUUUCAAUCAAGUCUGGCAAUAUCUGCCUUUCAAUGGCAGUGCCUAGUCCUUUCAUAUGUAAUAUACUUAUCAUUAUGGGUGGGUUUAAGUUUUAUCAUCUUGCUAUUUGUUAUCUAUUUGUCCCCCCUCUUUUGUUCCUCCUUUACUGCCUUCUAUUUGGUUGAGACUUAAUAAAAUAUUUUAUUCCAUCUUCUCUACUUACUUUUUAGCUAUGCCUCCUUAUAUUUUUGGUUGCUGGAGUGUUACAAUAUGCAUUCUUCAAUAUCCAGUCUACUUUCCAAUAAUAUUACACCACUUCAUGUAUAACGUAAGAACGUUACAAAAAUAUAAUGCCAGGGCUGGGCGCAGUGGCUCACGCCUGUAAUCCCAGCACUUUGGGAGGUCGAGGCGGGCAGCUCACCUGAGGUCAGGAGUUCGAGACCAGCCUGACCAACAUGGAGGAACCCCAUCUCUACUAAAAAUACAAAAUUAGCCGGGCAUGGUGGCUCAUGCCUGUAAUCCCAGCUACUCAGGAGGCUGAGGCAGGAGAGUUGCUUGAACCGGGGAGGUGGAAGUUGCAAUGAGCCAAGAUUGCGCCGUUGCACCCCACACUGGGCAACAAGAGCGAAACUCCGUCUCAAUAAAUAAAUAAAUUAAAUAAACAAAUAUAUAUAUAUAUAUAUAUGUAAUGCCAUCACAUCUUCUCCGGCCUUUGGUGUUAUUGUGGUCAUAUACUUUAUUUUUGUAUGUCUUAUAGAUCCCAGAAUGCAUUGUUAUUUUUACUUUAAAAGGUGGAUUAAUUUUUAAAGAAUUUAAGAAAAGAAAAACAGUCUUUGGACUGCUGGCCACAAAUUCUCUGUUUUAUUUAUCCCCAAAUAGUUUUAUUUUUCCAUUUUGAGAGAGAUUUUCACUGAUACCAUUCGGAGUUAACAGAUUUAUUCUUUCAUCACUUUUCAGAUGCCGUUCCAUUGUUUGCUGACUUUCAUUGAUUCUAUGAGAAGUCUGCAGUCUUUUGCAGCGUUGUUUUCCUAUGUAUAAUUGUCUCCUCCCACCCCACUCACCCCAGCUGCUUUCCACAUUCUCUCUCUUUGAUUUUCAGCAGUCUGCCCAUGAUGUGCCUAAAUAGGACUUUCUUUGCAUUCAUCUUGGCUGGGGCUCACUGAACUUUCUGAAUCUGUAGAUUAAUUUUCUUUUUUCAAUAAACCUUGGAAUAUUUUCAGCAUAAUUUUUUUCCUGUCUUCUUCUCUCUCUUUUCUCCUCUGAAAU
rnacentral:lncRNA from 1 species